GGGAGGAUCGGGCUUUCCUGCUUCCCUAAGACUGGGGCUAUGAGCUUGACCUCCUGGCCCCUAGCCCUCCGAGGAGUGCCCCCCUCCCCCUGGCCUGGAAGCCAGGUGUCCUGGACCCUAGCCCCCGAGCAGGGGGGGGGCCUGGAGAGACGGGGAGGAGGAAGGAGGGAGUGACUUCCAAAAUUGGCAUCGGGACAGAGCAGGGCUGGCGGGAGGCAGGUGAAAGACGGAAUUUUCCUGAAAAAACGGGGGGAUCUGAGGACCCCAAAUUUGGAGAGCUAGUCCAGGACCGUCCUGCCAACAUCCUAGAUUUUUUUGGGAUUUUUUGGGGCCCCCGGGACCCCUCUAGAUGGGGUGAGGAAUGUAGUGUUGGGGGAAUCUGACUGGGGCAUUGCAGCUGCCUCUCCCGCCGAGUUGGAGACGGAUGGGCUGGGACGGGUUUGGGGGGGUGUCCCCAGUUCUGACUGGGAGUGGAGGAACCCCCUCCUGUGCUCUCUUGUGGGGGUCCCCCCUCCCUAGGGCACUCCCCACUCCCUGAGCCAGCCGAGAGGAAGGAGGCCAGCGAUGCGACUGGGGCGGCUCCUUUCUCCUGCACCCCAAAUGUGAGGGAUGCACCCCAAAAUUUGUUCCCUUCAUAAUAGGGGACCAGGAUCUCAGGGGAGAGUAGCUGAGGCAGGCCUUGCUCAGAGUCCCAGGCGGUCCACAGGUCCAGGGUGAACAGUGACAGGGGUCAGAGGUGGCAGGCUCAGCAAGAGAGCAGAGGAGGAUCAGCAGAGGUCAGAAGAAGGCCAGAAUCCAGGGUCAGGCUGUCUGGAACAGGAAGUGAAACGGGCCGAGAUGGAGCGAGCCCCAAGGUGGCCUCCGAGAUGACCCCGACCUCCCGGAGCAGCGGGCACCUGACAGACCCUGCGUGCACAGGAGGGCACCUUCUCUCCCAAAGCCCAGGGGGGGACCCCCGGCCUCGGGGGCACUGGAGCUGCUUGGUGGAGGGGCAGCCGGAGGAGGCGACAAGACGCCAGAUGCCACCUUCUUGGGCCCUUUCUUGGGCGAAUCAGCCGGAAGGGGGAUGCCGGAGUCUUCGUAUACCUUGCGCUUCACCGUGGCCUUUAUCUGAGCCCUGAAGAGGAGAGAGAGCAAGUUGGGAAGGGGGGUCGUCAGACAGGCUGAGGGAAGAAGGGAGGGGAGGGCAGGGGCAGUGGGCCACUCUGAAGGGACACGGGGGCGCCCCGUCCUAAGAAUGCAGGCCAGGGUCCCAGCGCUUUGGGCAGGCUCUGAUCUUUCUGAAGCUGUGCAGCCACUUAGGGCCAAUGGAGCGUGAAGAGCGGAGUCCCUCGGCUGAGUCGUGGGACAGGCCCAGCUCCUAAUUCUCUUCUGGGAGGGAUGACUGGAUGUGUGGAAGCUACCAGGUGAGCCUGGGUGAUCGACAGGUAGCCUGAGACUUAUCCUGAUCUGCUAGUUCAGAAUCCUAAUACCGCUGGAAACACCGCAGGAGCGUCUCGAAAGAUCUGUACAAAUAACCAGGGAACUCCUAUCACCAGAUUCGAUUGCUCAGGCAACCUAAAAUCCAAUUCUUGUAAGGGCCUGACUGCCAGAGCAUUUUAGUUAACUUCUGAUCAAUUGUAACAAUUCUUUUACUCUUUCAGUCCUCGAGGGAAUGCUAACAAAACUAGCAACCGAGUAGGAAAGAUGUUGAGCUGGGCGUUCUGAGGAAGACGGAGCAACGGGCAUGGAGGAAGAAAGCUGCCCACCCACCCUCUCUCUGCCAGCCAACCCUCCCUCACACUGUCCGUUCCUUGAUGACACAGCUGAUGUGAUUAAGAUCGUCCCCAAAUCGCUUCA